GACGAACGCUGGCGGCGUGCUUAACACAUGCAAGUCGAACGGAAAGGCCCCUUUGGGGUACCUCGGGUGCGAACGGGUGAGGAACAAGUGAGUAACCUGCCCCUUACCUCGGGGUAACUUCAGGAAACUGGGGCCAAUACCGGAUAGGGAAUCUUGGUGCAAGGUGGGGGGUUGAAAAGUUCGGCGGUUUUGGGUGGACUCGCGGCUUAUCAGCUUGUUUGUGGGGGAGUGGCUUACCAAUGCUUUGUCGGGUAGCCGGCCUGGGAGGGCGACCGGCCACAUUGGGACUGAGAUACGGCCCAGACUCCUACGGGAGGCAGCAGUGGGGAAUAUUGCACAAUGGGCGGAAGCCUGAUGCAGCAACGCCGCGUGCGGGAUGACGGCCUUCGGGUUGUAAACCGCUUUCAGCAGGGGCGAAGCUUGUGGUGACGGUACCUGCAGAAGAAGCACCGGCUAACUACGUG
rnacentral:rRNA from 1 species